rnacentral:rRNA from 1 species
AUUGAACGCUGGCGGCAGGCUUAACACAUGCAAGUCGAGCGAGCGGCGGACGGGUGAGUAAUGUCUGGGACACUGCCUGAUGGAUGGGGAUACCUACUGGAAACGGUAGCUAAUACCGCAUACCAUCAGAUGUUCCCAGAUGGGAUUAGCCAGUAGGUGGGUUAAUGGCUCACCUAGGCGACGAUCCCUAGCUGGUCUGAGAGGAUGACCAGCCACACUGGAACUGAGACACGGUCCAGACUCCUACGGGAGGCAGCAGUGGGGAAUAGUGCACAAUGGGCGAAAGCCUGACGCAGCCAUGCCGCGUGUGUGAAGAAGGCCUUCGGGUUGUAAAGCACUUUCAGCGAGGAGGCGUUACUCGCAGAAGAAGCACCGGCUAACUACGUGCCAGCAGCCGCGGUAAUAC